CCAUCCAAUGUUGCAGAACUGUUUAUCAUAAUGUAGAUGACUUGAAUGCUACUCAGUACUUUUGUUUACACAAUGGUAUCCGUGGUAGCUGUGCUGUGGGGCUGCACCAACCCAUAUCUGAAGAGAGGCACAGAGGGGAUUGAACAUGUUAAAAAGGAGAAUAAGUUCCAUCAGUUCCUGGCUGAGGUCAAGUUCCUGUUUUUAAACAUCAAGCAGAUGCAGCCUAUAACAACAUGUCCCUUUACAUUUGCUGUACCUGAUUGCAUUCCUACUGAAUCAGAGUGGAUCCUUGGUGUACUACUUCACUCUUACCACCACAGGUGAGCUACAUCUAACUAAUAUGACAAGUUGAACUACAGUAUGACUGUUUUACACAUCGACUGCUCAUAAUGUCAUCCUCUAGGUUUCUUUGAUCUCAAAAUCACAUGAUUGACAGCUGUCGGGUAUUUGGCAUCAUUAAAUUGA